AUGAGAGGGUAGCUUGAAGGAGUAGGGGAAAGAGAAAAGCUGGAGCUGUUGCCGAGCAUUGUAAUUGUGACAGCAGCAUCAGUAGCAGCUGCCUUCUCUCCCGGGCUUCCGAGACUCGGCGGUGACACCAUCCAGCAGACGAUUUCCAUCAAAUGAAGACACGUUAAGACUUGUCCAGCGCAGGCCUUUCAUUACGACCAGUCGGCUGUACAUGGAGACCCCCAUUUGGGCA